GUGCACGCUUUGGCAGCACAUAUAUUAAAAUUGGAAAGAUACAGAGUGAGAUCAGCAUGGCCCUGCUGAGGGUGACAUGCAAAUUCAUGAAGCAUUCCAUAUUUUA